rnacentral:tRNA from 1 species
GCCGUCUUAGCUCAGUUGGUAGAGCGUGGCAUUCGUAACGCCAAGGUCCGGAGUUCGAUCCUCCGAGACGGCU